AGCGAACGCUGGCGGCAGGCCUAACACAUGCAAGUCGAACGAACCUUUCGGGGUUAGUGGCGGACGGGUGAGUAACACGUGGGAACGUGCCUUUAGGUUCGGAAUAACUCAGGGAAACUUGUGCUAAUACCGAAUGUGCCCUUCGGGGGAAAGAUUAAUCGCCUUUAGAGCGGCCCGCGUCUGAUUAGCUAGUUGGUUGAGGUAAUGGCUCACCAAGGCGACGAUCAGUAGCUGGUCUGAGAGGAUGAUCAGCCACAUUGGGACUGAGACACGGCCCAAACUAAUGCGGGAGGCAGCAGUGGGGAAUGUUGCGAAAUGGGCGAAAGACUGAAAAAGCCAUGCAGCGUGAAUGAUGAAGGUCUGAGGAGUGUAAAAUUCUUUCACCGGGGACGAGAAGGACGGUACCCGGAGAAGAAGCCCAGGCUAAAUGCGU
rnacentral:rRNA from 1 species